CGCCAAUUUAUGUUUUCUUUUACUUUUUACAUUUUGAAGCUUCUAACUAGAAUUGACACUCUUAACGCUCUAUCAUAAUUCUUUGAAAAUAUGGAGUAAGCCAAUUUUGUGACAAUACAUAGUGAUUACUUUUAGAAAAAGGAAAAAUACCCUCCUAUUUUAAUACCGUCAAAGGUUGAUUUUCUUACAAAAGAAUCUCUUACAUUUAGAUAUCCUUUUUUAGUGAAAAAUACCCAAAAAUAAAAAAAAAUGUUGAGGAUAUGAUACUUCUAAAGGUAUAAUACAAAAAACUGCAACCUCUUGGAAAUGUGGCUAGAUAUUGUAGAGAAUGUGAAUUUUGCACAGAACUUGGGAUUUUUCUUCAUGUGCUGAUUAUGAAUGUUAAGAGUCUGCAGUUCAAGAAUGAUACUUGAAACUCCUACGACCUUCUUAAAAUAUCAUGCUUCUCCACGGGGUUUAUAAUAUUAAUUGGCACUUUGGAGGAAUCUCUGAAACCACCAAAUUAGAUUACCUUAGAUGUUUCUAUAUAAAAUGUCACACAAGGGUAGGAGGGGGCUUCAGCGAAUGAAAUUUGGCAACUACUCAAUACCAUUGCAACUAAAUGUUAAGAAGAAAAAGGGGAACAUUUCAGUUGCAUCGCAUUGUAGUUGUUUUGAGAGAAGAUUCCAUGUCACUAAGAAAACAGAGGAAGAAUAAAUUACCAGAUGAAGUGAAAAUGAAGUUAAAGAAAUCACGAAAACUGAAGUGAUCAGAUUGAAGCUCUCUCAUUGUGCUUAGUUUGGUACUGAAAACUUUUAAUUGGACCAGGGAAUUUGAUCAAUGAGUUUGCUUUGUUUACUGAAAAUUAUGGCCACUCAAGUUCUAUUAGGGUCCGUUUGAUUGCAAAAGUAGAAUUUGGGUCGAAAGAAAACGAAUUCCAAGGAAUUGAAUUGUCUAGAAAUUGUUUUUCUGAAAAUUAUAAAUUAUUGUGUUUGAUUGGCAUAAUUUUCCACGUGAAAUUUUUUGAAAUGAAAGUAUUUUUUAGUGUUCGUUUGGCUUUGUUUUACAUAAAAAUUGUCAAUUAAAGGUAUAAAAUUUAUUGAUAUUGGGGAUGAAAUUUGUUUUCAUUGCAAAAAAAAAUUAAGAAAAUCAUCUAUGUUUUGAUGUUCGUUUGACUUUGUUUUACAUAAAAAUUGUCAAUUAAAGUAAAAUAUUUUUUUACAAUUAGGAAUAGAAUUUGUUUCCAAAAAAAAAAAAAGAACAGAAAAAAAUAAAUAAAUAAAAAAUCGUCAACAUUGCUUGGAAAAUCAAUUCCCACCCACAAUAGCUGGAAAUUGUCUACGUGGUUGGAAAAAUGGAGAAAACCUAUUCCCUAGAAAAUAAUGGUAUCAAACAUACAAAAAAUAGAACUUGGAAUUGGAAUUCCUAGUUCCAUGGAAAACUUUGAUUGAUCAAACACUGCCUUGGAGUAAUUAUUAUUUUCAUUGAGCAUUAUUCAACUACCUAUAGUAUAUUAUCGUAUAUCUAUUUUUCAUUUUCAACUGCUAUUGUGGUCUACAUGAAGAAUGAAGAGAAUUCUUAUUCCGCCGUGAUUGGUUGGCCAUGAUAUCAAAAUCACUUUUUGUGGACUAUCGAUAACUUGUAUAAAUAGUUUUCUUUAGUCUUAUAUAACAUCGAUUCUUUGUUAGGAGUAUAUUUUGAGUUAUGACUUUGUUUGCAGCUGCUGGCUUGCGAAAUAGGAGUCGUGACAACAAAGCUCUGAUUGUGAGCGAGGUAGAGAAAAAUGUAUGGCCAGCUAUCGCCUCAGGAAAGAUAAAACCCGUCGUGUACAAGUGUUUUCCAUUAGCUGAAGCUGCAGAAGCUCACCGCCUAAUGGAAAGCAGCAACCAUAUAGGAAAGAUUCUCCUCUUGGCUCCAUGACGUGUUCUUAAAUAGUCUUCAACCUCUGUUAUUACCAAUCAAUAUACAGUAGAGGCGCGUCUGUUUGUUUUGUAAUACAAUUUUCAUCUGUUUUUUCUUCACAAGACUUGUGCCUUUUCCUUUUCUUUUCAAGUGGGGGAUUUAACUUAAAUGAUGUCAUUAUAUAUAUGAAUAAUGCUAUGUGUACACCUUAACACAUAGCAUUAUGCCCCCUGCAUAUGAAGGGGGCUCAAACAUAUUUUAUUGUAUGUGGGUCUCUUUCCAUGUAAGAGGAGUGUAAAGUCAUAUGUAAACGAUUAAGUACACAUAACAUUGUCUUAUAUAUACAUAUAUCUUGUUGUACUAAAUAAACUUCAGUGCGAUAGAGUAAAAUUUACACCAUCUAAUAAGUGAACUUAGCCUCAUUUGGCAAAAAGUGUAUUUUUCCCCCUCCAAAUCAUGAAUCCAAAAGCUUUUUCUUAGUUCAAAAAAUUGAUUCUAAUUUGUUUUGUUUAUAUAGAUAUAUAAUCGUCAUACAAAACUAAAAAUUCAUGGUUAGGAGGUAUUGCAGCCUAUGGUUAUUCAUUCAUUUUCAUUUAAUUAUAAUAUUAAUUAUACAACACACUUGUGUACAUUAGUUAAGAAUGCUUAUUUAGGUGUUUAAGGGUGGUUAAUUAAUUUAUUAAUUAAGUUGCAACUAUGGAGUACUUCUGUUGUUGGCUAUCGCCAAAAAUCCAAUUCAAAAUCAUGGCCUACCAAGCUAUUUUUUUCAUGUCAAGGGGCAAUCUUAAAAGAGUAUUCCAGCUUCAACACUGUAAUGGUUGAUGAGACAAUACUGAAACCUGAGUUAUAAAUAAAAAGAAAAAAAAAAAGAAGAAGAAAGAAGGUACCAUACACGAUGAUGAAGUUGUGUUUUGAAUGAGAUCUCAAUAUCGAGAGCUAAGUACAUUAGGUUGAGGAAAUAAUACAUCCAUUUUUAGGCAAAUUGCAGCUAAUAUUGCCGGCCAUUAGUGGCCAACGGAUAACCAAACUGCAAAUGUAUAUUUUAUUGGCAAAUCAACUCAAGAUCUCGUUCAAUGUCUUGCUGGAGGAGACUCGUGUCGUGUCAUUCUCGUAAGUUAGAAUUCUGAACUCAAAAUGUUGCUUCGAAAGUGAAAUUACAAAUGCAUCCUAAGCCCGCUAAAGAACCUUCCAAAAACUUAAUUGUAGGAGCUGAAAGUGAACUAGCAACAUGCAGGGCCGGUCUUGAGCACAGGCAAAUGAGGCUUGUUCCUCAAGCCCAAAAUCACAAAGGACCUAUUUUGGCCCAAAGUGUUUUUUUUAAUAUUAAAAGAAGGAAAAGGAAAAAGAAAAUAGUUUUUUUAUUAAUUGUGAGAUGAUUGAUAUAUUUGUUUGUCCUUUUAAUCUUAAGUUUUAAGUUAACAACAUGUUGCAUAAUAUAUCGUUGAAUUUUGCAUUUACGUUGAUUUUGAAGCCUAAUUUUUGGACUUCGCCUCAAGCCCCAACAAUCACAGGACCGACCUUGGCAACAUGUUAUUAGCCUAGUUUGGCUCACAUUUAUAAAUUGUUUAUAAGCACUUGAACCAAUUUUAUCCACAUAAUCGAGUAAGAAAUUCACCGCUCAUAUUUUCUAUUUAUAAUUUAAAUCGAUUAUAAACACACCUCAUACAUGCUCUUAGCUUGAGAGAUUGAGCAAAAGAAAAAAAAAUGUAGUCAUUUAAGCAUAGAAGUGUGAAAAGACUCGUUCAUACCUCACAAAGUGCUCGUGUGGCAUUUCAGUAUGUAAAUUUACAUGUUUUUCCAGAAGCUUACCUGCAGAAUGAUUAUCUUACAAUCAGGGGGUUAUGGUUUUUUUUUUUUUUUUGCUUUUUUAAUUUUUAAUUUAAUAGGGAAAAUGUGAUAUGUCCAAAUUGCCCUUGCUGUAUUUGGGAAAAAUAAUCAGAUUUUAAUUUCUGGGGUCAACUGACAGAUUUUGGAGUCAAACGGACGGAAACCGUCAUUUUGGACUUGAGCUGCAUAUUUUUUAAAAGUUUGGUACUCACGGUGGCACAAAUAAAAGGUUUGGACAAAGUCUGCUAAUAAACGAAAUGUUUGGUACUUCAGCUGCAAUUUUCCCUAUAAUAUAUCCAUUUAUAGGCAAAUUGCAGCUAAUAUUGCCAGCCAUUAGUGGCCAGCAGAUAACCAAACUUCAAAUGUAUAUUUUAUUGGCAAAUCAACUCAAAAUCUCCUUCAAUGUCUUGCUGGAGAAGGCUCGAGUCGUGUCAUUCUCAUAAGUUGCUUCGAAAGUGAAAUUACAAAUGCAUCCUAAGCCAGCUAAAGAACCUUCCAAAAACUCAAUUGUAUGAGCUGAAAAUGAACUAGCAACAUGUUAUCAGUUCGGCUCACAUUUAUAAACUGUUUAUAAGCACUUGAACCAGUUUUAUUCACAUAAUCGAGUAAGAAAUUCACCACUCAUAUUUUCUAUUUAUAAUUUAAAUCGAUUAUAAAUACACCCCAUACAUGCUCUUAGCUUGAGAGAUGGAGCAAAAGAAAAAAAUGUAGUCGUUGAAGCAUAGAACUAUGAAAAGACUCGUUUAUACUUUCCAUAGUGCUUGUAUGGCAUUUCGGUAUGUAAAUUUACAUGUUUUUUCAGAAUCUUACCUGUAGAAUGAGCAUCUUACAAUCAUUAGUGCUUGCUUGAUAGGGCUCUCAAGUUCUUAUAAGCACUUAAAACAUAUUUCGUGCAUUUGAAAGUAUGAGAACUAUCAGGCAAUGAUAUCCUCCCUCCCUUUUGCCAACCCAAGAAAUAGAGAGAAAAAAAUAACUAUAAAAAGGUUUGCUCCAAGAAUGAAAACCACAAUCUUACACCAUAUAGGAUUUUCGUAUUGCUUGUGUAGUUGAAUAAGCAUCUUAGAGUGACAUCAACUUCAACGUUACAUGACAAGAGAUUGUUACCACCGGCACUUAUCGCUUUAACCACAUUUGAUGAUCCAAGGAAAUGCUAAUCAAGAGUGGAAAUGGUCAAAUGAAAGAUUGAAACAUGAAAGAGUGGAGAAAAAAACUCACAUACAUCUUUUAGUGCAUAUACAAUAAAUCAAGCUCUUACAACCAACUGUAUACAAGCAAAUACAAGGAGCAGGAAAUAGUAUUAAUGAACUCUAUUUUUUUAUUUUUUUAAAGUCAUACUUUUUUGGACAAUUUUAACCUUAUGACAAUUCAAUUAUUUCAAUAAUAACCUACUUUUCGUUUUUCAAUAUAUAAUUAGUACUACAAAAUCUUUGUCAUAUAUGAAUUUUGUGUUAUUAAUUCUCAAUUAAUUAAUAUUCAGAUUAAUAUAGACUCGUUGAAUUGGUCAGGUCUUAAGUUUGCUCCCCAAUAAUUAUCAGUUCGAGUUCCCUCAUGUGGAUGUUUAUAGAAUUCCCACAGGCUACUCACAUACAUGGAGUGGAUGGAUAUUUGUGGGAUAUUUUUUUAAUGAAAGACCCCCCUCAUGUGUACUUGCCGUGUAAAAUGGGGUCUGUACAUCAGGCUUAAUUGUUUCGUAAAUCAUAGCAGUCCAUUGCGUGAAGUUAAUUUGGGGAGUUACUUUAUGGAUUGGUAUUCAGUUUUCCAGUGGUUUGUGGGGCCACACUAAUUUAUAACAAGUAAUAACUAUACGGGGUUUCAAUUUUACAUAUGCAUGAUUAAUUAAAGGAAAAAUUGCAGCUAAGGUACCAAAUCAUUUGUUUAUUAGCAUACUUUAUUUAAACCUUUCGUUUGUGCCACCGAAGGUACCAAACCUUCAAAAAAUUCACACCCGUAGUCCAAAUUGACAAAAUCCGUUAGUAAAUCCGUUAGUUGACCUAGAGUCAACAUUUUGACCAAAUUUUGAGCAUUUUAAAGGGUAAAAAUGUAACAUUAGAUUUUAUAUUAAAGAAUUAAAAUAAUUAAAUUAAAAACCCAAAAAUGAAAUAAAAAGAAAAGAAUUACAAAAAAUUUUCUUCUUCUUCUUCUUCUUCCGUACACAACCGAACCGUCCCGCCCCACCCCACAGAAAUCAACCAACAUCCACCCAUCCCAAUCGCGCUGACCACUGCCAUUCACCGCUCCUAAAUCGGUCAACGACCAUCAUCCACCAUACCCAAAUCACCGCACAAUAAUUGCCAGCAAAUCACAUUAACCAGAAAAUGUUGGAUAACAUUGGCUUGUUCUUAAUUUGCAACUCUAUGUUUUAACCAUAAGACGUUGGAUAACAUUGACCAAAGAGUUGUUACGCUUGCAUUGCGGGUAAGAAAAAGUGCUUGUAGUAGCCAUUCAAAUCUAGUCAACAACCAUCCUCGUCAUCUCCAUUAAAAUGACUCUCUUCUUUAUCAAAUUGAAAGAUCCCUAGAAUUGCAUAUUAUCAAUUUAAAAUGGCACCCUGGUGUUGGAUUUUGUUGUGGGCGAUUACGAUGGCAGGUGGAGGAGUGAGUGGUAGUGGUGGUUUCAGCUCUUGGUUUUGGUUUUUGGGGAGGGAGUGUGUGUAGGGUACGUAGAGAAGAUGAAGGGAAUUUGUUUUUAGCUUUUUUAUUUUAAUUCUUUAAUAUAAAAAUCUAAUUUUUUUAUAUGAAAAAUAUAAAGUUACACAUUUGACCCUUUAAAAAUCAGUCAACAAGUGGUCAAAUCUUUGAUUUUUGGUCCAUAGCAGUUAAACUAACGGUUUCUGUCAAUUUAGAGUUUGGGUGCGAAUUUUUUGAAGGUUUGGUACCUUCGUGGCACAAACGAAAGGUUUGGACAUAAUCUGCUAAUAAAUAAAAAGUUUGGUACCUUUACUGCAAUUUUCCCUUAAUUAAGUUGUGAUUACAAGGGUCCGUGAAUGCCGACAUGCGUUCUACUCAUUGCUCUUAAAUGGUGAUACUCAAGUGAUGAAUUCAUUAUGUGUUUGGCCAAUCAAGUACAUAUAGAUCUGUUCAUAAACAAGAAAAUGACUGUAUAGUAAUAAAUAUUUUAUUUAUGUAAUUAAUGUUCGAUUAUUGUUGUUUGUAAUUCAUCAAAGUGGCCAAAUAUUUUAUUUAUUAUUGUUGUAUUAAUGUUAGAGCAUUUUAUAUUUUGUAGUAUCUGUUCCCCGUUUCUCUGCAUUUGUAUGCUUCAUCUGUAUCACUGUUCAAUAGGCUCAUUUUCUCUGAUUAGUGUGAACAAAUCCAAUUCAAUUUAGGCAUUUUGGACUUAGUGUAACGCCCCAAGAUUUUUUUCAUUAUUAUUAUUAUUUUUAAAAUAAAAAUAGUUCGAGAUGUUACCAACAUCUUCUUUAUCUAAUUUAAGAGGAAAUAUCACUUUCAUUAAGUGUUGAAAAUGCAUAAAAAUAUCUAUUAAAUAAUUUACACAAAAUAUGUUUUUUAAAUAAAAGUUGUAAAAAAAAAAUUAAAAAAAAAUAAUAUAUAUAUAUAUAUAUAUAUAUAUAUAUAUCAUUGUAGUUAGUUUAUAUAGUAUAAAAAUGUAUUAGCUUUUAUUUAAAAAAGAAGAAAAAAAAAGAGGACUAAGUACACGGAAACCUGGAGAAAUCAAUUUUUUUUCACUUAUAUUUUUGUGUUCAUUUUCAGGCUCAUUACGGGAUACAAAACGAAAUCGAAAUAUUACAUUCUUAAUAUCGUUUUGAAGUACUCGCGGCAUAGUAUUGUACGUCAUUAACGGUGUGUGAAACGGUCAAUCAUAACAAAUGUUAUAGGACGUCAAAGUAAGCAUUUUUAAACUAUAUUUCAAAAUUUUCGAUAACAAGCUAACUUUAAAAAUUCACCGACGAUUAUGUGAUAGUCGAAUCGAUAAAUAUUUUACAUUCUCUUGAAACUCAUUUUGAGAACUAUAUCGUUAAGAUAUUGAAUGAUCUAAAUACAUAUCAAAAAUAGUUAAACGGACAUUAAACGGAUGUGUUAAAAAAUACUCAUAUGUCGUUUUUCUUUAAAAAUUCAAUUAUUUUAUUAUUAUUUCGAAAUUUUCGAUAACAAGCUAAUUUUAAAAAUUCGCCAAUGAUUGUACGAUAGUCGAAUCGGUAAAACAAUGUUUUACAUUCUCUCGAAACUUAUUUUGAUAACUAUAUCAUAGAGAUAUCGAAUGAUCUAAAUAAAUAUCGAAAAUAGUUAAACGAAAAUUAAACGUAUGUGUUAAAAAUGCAUUUUUUUCUUAAAAAAAUUAAUUAUUUUUUUCUUUUUAAUUCUUGUCUCUUCCAAAUAAAACUUAAUUUUUCAGUUUUAAUGAAAAAGUUAUUUGUAGGUCAAAAAAAUUGAAGAGAAAAAAAUUAAAAAAAUUAUAUAUAGUGUGGUCUCCGUGCACGGAGGAUUAUUUAAUUUUUUUUGUACUUUUCCGUUUUCCAUUUUCAUACGUUAUGGCCACACCUUUUCAAAUCAAUUCAUUUGCUUAUAUUAUUAUAUUAUAUAUAUAGUGUAAGAAAGGCAAUGUGAAUCUAUGUAACACGCAACUUUCCAAACCUCCAUCGUUAUUCCGUGCUGACCACUUUUAUAAGUUAAAAAAAAAUAACUUUUAGUAAAAAAAUAAAUAAAUAAACAUAUUAACAAAAAAAUAUUUCUAAUAUAUGUAAAAAUUACUUAUAUAAGUAAAAAAAUUCGUUUAAAACUAUUUAGAAGUAAAAAAUAAAAUAAAGUUAUGAAAUUUAAAUGAAGAAUAUAUAAAUAUUAUUUACUUAAAAUUGAAAAUUUUACUUUAUAAAUAAUUGAUUUUUUUAUCAAUUUAUUUAAAUUUCUUUUUAAUUCUUUUUUCUUUCAAAUAAAAUUUAUUUAAAUUUUUUUUAAAAUUCUUUUGCCCUACCAACCUCGGAGUGACUGUUGUAUCGUCUGAAGAAUAGACCUGCUGUUAGGGUUCUAAUUCUUACACCAACAAGGGAGUUGACCAUCCAGUAAGUGUCACUUUAAGUUAUUUUUACGUGUGAACCUAAGUUUGUUAUUUAAAUGUUUGUGUACGUGGAUAUUCUCUUUCAAUUUACAACUGUAUGAGUUAUUUUUGAAUUACAAGUAUAGCCUCUCGAAUUGAAGUUGCUAAAGAAAAACAUUUUGUAAAAUUCAAUUUACAACUUAUUUGCAAUAUCAGAUAAAAAAAAAUAUUUUCAUCUACAUUAAACAAAAAAUACAAUAAAUAAUUAAAAAUAAAUUAUCGUUGACAUAUAUACAAUCACAACAUUCACUAUACUUAUUUAUAAGAAUAAAAAUAAAUUAUCAUAACAUAAAAUAUACAAUCGACCAAAAUAUGAGAAUUAAACAAAUAUUUUUUAUUUUCAAAUACAUUUUGUACAAUUUAUAGAUUUUACGCUAAUAAAAUUAAAAUAAAUACAAAAUUCGUGCAACGCACGAGACGCAAACUAGUUCUAAACAAAAAUUCUAACUUCUAUAUACAUAUAUAUAAUUCACAAAAAAACGAAACUCCAAUAAUUACUUUGAGACUUCUCAGUUCCAACAUUUAAUCCAAAUGUACUUCUUUAAGAGAUUAUUGAUUAAUCAUAUCAAUUAUUACCGAAAUUAAGGGAUUUAAUUAUGUUUUAAGUUAUAAUAUUCUUUUCAAUCCAAGUAACCGUACUGAGUGAAAUCUGAUUCAUUUUAUUAUUUUAUUAUUAUUUACAUUUUAUUUAUUAAUAAAAUAUAAAAUCUAGAAUACUUUUUUUUUAUCAAUAUAAGUCAAAUAUGACUAGUCCAAAAUUAUUUUUUCUUGAGCCAAUUUAUAUUAUUUAGCACGAACUACAAAAUAAGUAUAAUAUCGAUAUAUCUUUUAUCAACUUUUGAAAUACGUAAAUAUUCAACCCAAAUAACCUACGUUAAAUUUUAAAAGUACUCAUAAACAAGGUAAAUAUUUUAUAUAAAUAAGUGGGUUGAGCUUUUUUUUAUUGUUUAAACUUAGUGUGAUGAUAACUAGACAUGGACGAUUCCAUUUGCUAAAUAACCAAAUAUUAAAUUUAGGCCCCACAUGAAAAAUAGUAAGAAAAAUUCAGGGUGUUACACUUAGACUUGGCACUUCAAGUUGAGAAACUUGCUGACCUCACUAAUGAGAGCAGUGCUAAUGAAAGAUCUUUCCAUAAGGCUUGGGAAAGGGUGUAACGGAUUAAGCUUAAUGUUUAUGCGGAUGAUCUUAGCAAAGAAUAUCAAGUCCACUAUCCCAAAAAUUGAGAUUGUUAAAGAAUAUGUGAAGUUUGUAGAAGAACAUUCCCAAAUAGCUGACAAGUCAAUUGCUGACACACUGAUGGGUACCUUAGCCACUAUGAAAUUUGAUGGUUCUCGUACCAUAUAUGAACAUAUUACUGAAAUGAGUAAUAUUGCGGCAAGACUUAAGACUUUUAGGAUGAUUGUGGACAGUGGUGGACCUAGUCAAGGUCCUAGUGGGUCACUUGACCCACCAGCUUUAAGUUGGUCUUUUUUUUUUUUUUUCCCUUUAUUUAUUUAUUAAGAACCAAAAAUUAGAUUGGGAAAUAAUGAUAGUUGGGCUUUUUUAUAGAAUAGAGUUCUAACAAUGAUUGAACAAUUGGGAGAGUGAGUUGAAAAUAUUAUUUUGUCAUUUGUGAUAUUUAAUUUGAAAAUUUUUUAAAAAUUGUUAUUCAUCAUAUAUAUGAGAUUAUUUGAAAUGCUUUAGGAAUUAUUAUUUAUCAUAUAUAUGAGAUUUGUGAAUCUAUAGUAGUGAUUAUAUGUAGGAGUUUUUGCAAAAUACAUAAAUUUUUUUGUGACUUUUUAAUAAAUUUGAUUAUGCUUCACUAACUCCAAAUGUUCAUGUCCGCCAGUGACUGUGAAUGAAAACUUUUUGGUACAGUUUAUCAUCAACUCCUUGCCUCUAGAAUAUGGUCAAUUCCAUAUGAAUUAUAAUACCUUAAAGGAUAAAUGGAAUGUGAAUAAAUUACACAGUAUGCUCAAGCAAGCGGAAACAAUGUUUAAGAAUCAAGGAGGUUAUUCUGUUCAUCUCGUAAGUCAUCAAAGAGUUGGAAAGAAAUAUAAAAAAAGUCUCAAAAUGACAUUAAGCAAGGACCACUAAAGACAAAUGACCUUUUCUGCCCAAAUCCACAAUAAAACACACACGAAAGAUAUGUGCCGUUUAUGUCACAACUCUGGGCACCAUAAAAGCAACUAUCUGAAACAUAAGGCAUGGUUCAAAAGUAAAGGUAAGAUUAUUUUUUGUGUAUGUUUCAAAUCUAAUUUGGAAAAAGUUCCUUAUAAUUUUGUUACAACAUUCAAUGUUAACGUAAAAAAAAGGAGUAUUUUUUGACAUUUCCUUAUAUGAUGUUCAAUUCUACACCGUAAAAAACUUUUUAGGGCAUGUAAUGCAGCAAAAUUUUGUUGCAGUAAAAGUGACUUUUUAUCUACUAAUGCAUAUUUGAAAAGAUAAAUGGAUAUAAAUGAUUCUCAUUAUUAUAUUUACUUGGACAUAUCAUUUAACAUCAUUCGUUUGUAAAUGGCAAAAAAAUUUAUUCACAAAUAAUGACUUUAUUAAGACAAUUUUAUUGUUGAUGAAAUGUUAACACCAAAAAAUUUCAUCACUAAGGCAUGUUAGAGAAUUAAAUUUCACUUUUUUUUUUUCAAACACAUUUUCAUCAUACAUUCUUCCAAUAAAAUAAUUUUUUAUAAUUUAAAUUUUUUCCGUACUUUUUAAUCAUACAUUCUGCAAAAAAAUUAUUUUUUAUAAAAUUUAUUUUAAAAUAGGAACUAAGCCCCUAUUUGACUCGCUUCUAAAAAAAAAAAAAAUUAUUUCUCAUACUUAUUUUCAAUGUCAUAUUCAUGUAAUAAAAUAUUCUGCACGUAAAUACAAAUUUUUUUCCUAUUUUUCAACUAUACAUUCUUCAAAAAAUUGCUAUUCAAAAUAUUGUUGCUCUCAAUUUCACUUUACAAUGGCUAUCAAACAUGUGCUAAAUAAUGUAAAAGCAUCAAUAUUUUGAAAGUGCAAUUUUAUUGAAACGGUCACUAAAAAUUAGAGACUAAUGUGCAAUUUUCGUCCCCGUUUGACCUACAUUUUUUGAAAUUAAAAUAGAUGAAAUAGUGUUUAUUCUUGGAGAAUGAAUGAUUGAAAAAGAAAUAAAUUUUUUUAAUUUAUGUGUAAUAUUAUUUUAUAGAAGAUUGUGUGGUUAAAAAUAGGAGUGAGAAAAAUGAAAUUUAAUUUAAAGUGGGUUAAAUGUGGGCUGAAAAUUAUUAUUAUUAUUAUUAUUAUUAUUAUUAUUUAUUUAUUUAUUUAUUUAUUAACAAUUAAGCCCUCUGCAGUCCACUCUGGGGAAGGCCACUGAACUCACCCCCACGCCUACAAAACAUACGCUCUCACCCGCACAGCGAAGCAACUGUAAGAAGAAGGAAGAAUGAAGGCGGUAGUGAUCACAAGCCCUGGUGGCCCAGAAGUGCUUCAGUUGAAAGAAGUUGAUGAUCCACAAAUCAAAGAUGAUGAAGUUUUGAUCAGAAUUGUAGCCACCGCCCUCAAUAGAACUGACACCCUUCAGCGGAUGGGUAGGUACGAUCUGCCUAAGGGUGACAGCCUGUACCCGGGUCUCGAAUGCUCUGGUACCAUCGACGCCGUUGGGAAAAAUGUUUCUCGCUGGAAAAUUGGUGAUCAGGUAUUCUAUCUAUUUCUGGAAUAUUAAUGGGAUGAUUGAAUAAAUUAUGUAUUGGGCAUUUUUUUCUAUCAGUUUACCUGUUUGUUUUGAAGCUGAAUUCUCGAUUUUAUGAAGUCAUAAUAUGUCUUUAUAUUGAUGAAUUGUUGGCUAUGGAACCUGUAUUUUGAUUGACUGACCCUCAAAAGAACUGUAUAAUUAUUCACGGAAAAGAAUAUUGAACUUGUUCCUAUUUUGGGUAUGAAUAAGCCACAGUCUCACAGAGCCACAAGCUCUUUGAUAAAUAGCCAUUAUAUUGUUCAAUUUUGUGAUGUCUAAUUUCUUCUCAGAGGACUAGGGGAAAAAUUAUGAUAGGAGGAAAUUGUGCGAAUGCAGGUAUGUGCUUUAGUUGGCGGGGGAGGAUAUGCGGAGAAAAUAGCUGUACCUUCUGGGCAGGUUCUUCCUGUCCCACCUGGUGUUUCUUUGCAAGAUGCAGCUAGUUUUCCUGAAGUAGCUUGCACUGUCUGGUCGACUAUCUUUAUGAUGAGCCAUCUAUCCAAGGGAGAGACUUUACUGGUAAACUGCGUACUUUAUUUUUCUUUUUCUGAUCUAAUUGAUUGUUGUGAUUGAGUUUUUUUUAGUGAGGAAUUAUUUCGCUGUGAUAUCUAUUAGUAGAAAAAUGUCAAAGUAAGACAGCACUUCAAAAAGCGAAACUAUUCAGAUAAUUUUUGAAUUUUGAAAUGUAUAUUGGUCGAUAUAGAAUAAAGCAAGGGAAAACCGUGAGCUUGGUGAUGUAAAGUUGAAGCUGACUUUCUAAUUGGAGAAGGGAGUGAGGAACUAGUCUGUUUAUCUAGGUUAGCUACAAUAAGGGUUGCACAUUUUACUUUGACGUGAACAAAGACCACUAAGAAGUACAGAGAUGUAAUAUACCUAAAAUCUUUUCACUGUAAAUGCCUAUUAUUGUUGAUGGAUCUAGUUUUGUUGCUUGAUGAUGAUGUAAAAUCAUUUUAAAGGUUUAAUCCUGUGUACAGACUUAAAAGAAGUUAGUCUUUAAGGUUGAACCUUUACCAUUUUUAGUUAACUAUUUUGGAAUCAAGCAAAAAUCUCAAGAGGCGAAAGAGAGUUGGAGAGAUGAUCUGGGAACUAACUUAGAUGGAGAAUUUCUCAAAUCGGGGAAAAUGCUAAGUGAAAUGAGUGCUAGUAAUCUGAAAGCUAACACGGGAUGAGAUGACUAAUAUGUUUAUAUCAAUUAUCUCUGGUUAAUUUAAGAUCUGUCUGAAGGUUAAUAUGGUUAUCAGAUUUUACUAAAUGUUAAACUGGAAAAGAACAUAUCAUUUCAGAUCCACGGAGGCUCUAGUGGAAUUGGAACAUUUACAAUUCAACUGGCUACAUACCAUGGAGUGAAAGUAUUCGUCACUGCAGGUGUGCUACCAAAUUCACAUCCAUUGACAUGAAAUAAUGAUUAUGAUAGUUUGGGUUCUACCUUCUUUGGGCGAUAAAAUAAUAAACUUUUUUCACCAGGAAGUGAGGAAAAACUAGCUCCUUGCAAGGACCUUGGAGCUGCUGUUUGUAUAAAUUACAAGACUGAAGAUUUCGUUGCACGAGUGAAGGAAGAAACAGGAGGAAAAGGUUGAAAAACGUUCAUAUGUAGUCUAAUAAUUUAUUUCUGCAAUCGUGAUUUCAUUUGAAUGCACUAUACAAGUUUGCAAUCAAACCCACCAUGUAAAUUUUAAUAGCAUGAAGCAAGAAUCUUCCCAUUUCUAUGAUUCAUACAUUAUCUUUGGGAUAUAACUUGAAUGGGUUUGAUUGCAGGUGUUGAUGUUAUACUUGAUAACAUUGGUGGUUCAUACCUUCAAAGGAACAUUGACAGCCUAAACUUUGAUGGAAGGCUAUUCAUAAUUGGCCUCAUGGGUGGAGUAAAAACAGAAGUAAAUCUUGCUGGCUUGCUAGCAAGACGCCUCACAGUGCAGUGUAACAUGCUUAAGCCUUCUGCUAAUUUAUGUUUUCUUUUUUCCUUUUACAUUUCAAAGCUUCUAACUAGAAUCGACACUCUUUGACGCUCAAUCAUAAUUCUUUGAAAAUAUGAAGUAAGCCAAUAUCGUGACAAUACAUAGUGAUUACUUUUAGAAAAAGGAGAAAAUAUGCUCCUAUUUUAAUACUGUUAAAGGUUGAUUUUCUUAUAAAAGAAUUUCUUACAUUUAGAUAACCUCUUGGAAAUGUGACUAGAUAUUGUAGAGAAUGUGAAUUUUGCACAGAACUUGGGGUUUGUCUUCAGGUGCUGGUUAUGAAUGUUAAGAGUCUGCAGUUGAAGAAUGAUAAUGGAAACUCCUACAACACUCUUAAAAUAUCAUGCUUCUCCAUUGGGUUUAUAAUAUUAAUUGGCACUUUGGAGGAAUCUCUGAAACCACCAAAUUAGAUAACCAUAGAUGCUUUCUAUACAAUGUCACGCAAGGAUAGGAGGGGCUUCGGCGAAUGAAAUCUGGCAACUACUCUAUACCAUUGCAACAAAGAGCCUGUUUGAGCCACAUUAUUUCAAAAAAAUACAUUCUUAAAUAGUGAUUUGACAUUAUUUCAACCACACAUUCUUCAAUAAAAUAAUAUUAUACGCAGAUCAAAAACUUUUACUUAUUUUUUAACCGCACAUUUUUCAUCUAUACACUAUUUAAUAAUGCAUUAUUACCAAAAUAAUGUAGCUCAAACACCCCCUAAAUGUUAAGAAGAAAAAGGGAACAUUUCAGUUGCAUCAUAUUGUAGUUGUUUUGAGAGAAGAUUCCAUAUCACUGAGAAAACAGAGGAAGAAUAAAUUGCCAGGUGAAGUGAAAAUGAAGUUAAAGAAAUCACGUAAACUAAAGUGAUCAGAUUGAAGCUCUCUCAUUGUGCUUAGUUUGGGACUGAAACUUUUAAUUGGAACGGGGAAUUAGAUCAAUGAGUUUGCUUUGUUUACUGAAAAUUAUGGCCACUCAAGUUCUAUUAGAAACUUAGAGUAAUUAUUAUUUUCAUUGAGCAUUAGUCAACUACCUAUCGUAUUUUAUUAUAUAUCUAUUUUUCAUUUUCAACUGCUAUUGUGGUCUACAUCCACUGGACACAUGGUAUCUCCCAGUAUUUUUAUGCACACUGAAGAAUGAAGGGAACUCUGAUUUCGCCGUGAUUGGUUGGCCAUGACAUCAAAAUCAUUUUUUGUAGACCAUCGAUAACUUGUAUAAAUAGUUUUCUUUAGUCUUAUAUUAUGUCCUUUAUUUGUUCGGAGUAUAUUUUGAGUUAUG
rnacentral:lncRNA from 1 species